AGUAGUAGUUGUAGUAGUAUUUGUAGUAAAACUUGUAGUUAUAGUAGUAGUACUAGUAGUAGUAGUAGUAGUAGUAGUAGUAGUAGUAGUAGUAGUAGUAGUAGUAGUAGUAGUAGUAGUUGUAGUAGUAGUAGUAGUAGGUAGUAGUAGUAGUAGCAGUAGUAGUAGUACAUAGUAGUAGUAGUGCAUUCGCUCUCACCCAAUGUUGAAUUUACUAAUCCCAUAUUCCUCGUAUCAUGUCACUUACACACCAUGUAACUAUUAUUAUGCUAUAACAAUUAUAGUGAUACAAAAUACUCAAUUUUGAACAUGUUGAUAAUGAAUCAUUGAUACCAAUAUAUAGUGGGUUAUUUCUACAACGGCUG
rnacentral:lncRNA from 1 species